rnacentral:lncRNA from 1 species
AACUAUAACAUCAAUACAUAUAUAAGAAUAUAAGUGUAUAAGCAUAGUUUAGUUCAAGAAUAUAAAAAUGGUUUUGUAAGACAUCUUAUGGGUUUUGAACAAUAAAUAACAAUGAGUUGAUGUCAUUUGAAUAAACUUUUCAAAAGUAAAACAUUUGGUAACAAUGUGCUUUUAGGAUGUAAAACCAUUUCAUGCAUCACAUUUUGUAGCAUGUGAAAUCUGUUAAAUGACAAACACAGUUAUAAAAUACAUAUCAAUGAUUUAAUAACAUGUUUGUUUCUACUUGUAUNUGUAUUCCCCCCCCCCCAUUAAAGCAUUUAAAAUUAUUUAAAACAUUGAUUAGGGGUAUGAACUCACCUGUAGUUGGUGAUUGGGAUGAAUUGGACGGUAUCAGAUUACUAGGUGUCAAGCGAGGACUUGUGCACAAACUACGAUCCUAAUGAACAUAUAAUCACACAUAUAUGCACUCAAUUAGACUCAAAAGGCUAAUUGAUAAUGUUUAAAACAUCCUAGACAUAGUUAACACUUUAUAUAAGUGUUUUAAGCCGUAAGGACUUCAUCUAAGCUAUUGUGGGACAGGGUACUUGUGUUUAGGGUUUCCAAAGGACCCUAUAUGAGAGUUUACUCUCCAUAAACCAUCACACAUGGAGUUUACGGUUGUAAACUCUUGAGUUUACAGCCGUAAACUCCCAAACAUGUGAGUUUCGUGUGUUUUGAAGUCCCAAUUGCUUCCUAGAAUUAUUCUAACUUAGUGGCUAUGUCCUUGGAAGCGUUUAAGCUCUAGAACUACUCCAAAUAGGAGUUUACGGCCUCAAGGACAUUUCCCCUUGGAGUUUACGGCCGUAAACUCCCUUGGGGUGAUUCCUUGGUGGCUUUCAAGUCUCUUGCACUUGUGGCAUAUGUUCUAGACUUUUAUUCCUAGCAUAUGAAGGCAUUAGGCACCACUUAGUGCCCUUUUCCGGAGUUUACGGCCCAAGAACCAUGUCUUGGCCGUAAACUCACUUGUUUAAGUGAUUUUGGUGUGGUUUGGUCCUUCCAUUUAGUGGGUACAAUUUCUUGUAAAGGUCCAGGGCCUUAGGUGUCAUGAAAACACUCUUUGUGAUCAUUUACAUGGAGUUUACGGCCUUAGGUGUCAUGAAAACACUCUUUGUGUCAUUUGAUGUGUUUACGACCUUAAGCUACUUGGGAAAUAACCAAGAUGCAAGCCUUAAAGUCCUUAAGUCCUCAAAUCACCAUUCAGGGCUAGGAAAUGGAGUUUAUGGCCUAAGAGAGUUCUGGGCCGUAAACUCCCAAUCUUGGGUGGAUUUGUGUGUGUUUUCAUGUCCCUAACAUGCAUACCUAAUGGUCUAAGGCCUUAUCCUAGCACAAGUGUUGGUUUUCGCUUUGUUUCGGGAGUUUACCGCCCAAGAACACCUUGGGGAGUAAACUCCUAGAUCUAAUGAUUUAGCCAUCUAAAUCAUGUUAUAAGCAUCUAAUAUGUAUUCUAACACUACUAGAAAGAGUUACUCACAAUCUGGGAUAAAAACCCGAAGAUCUGUCAGAGAGAAAAUGGCUUUUGUCUAGUUGGAGUUGUGAAUAAUGAAUUAAUUUAAUUCAGAAAACUAUUUAUAGUCCUGAAAUAUUUUGACAGAAAAUAUUUUUAUUCUCGAACUUGGACUGUAACAUUAUGAAACUUGAAAUGUUCAAAUUUCACAAACCCAGGAGCAUCCACUCUCCUGAUAUCUCCUAAAGUGUAAACCCUAAUGUACACAAAAUUGUUCGGAAAAGUACGAAAAUCAUUGAAACUGGACUAGCUUCUAUUAAAUAGAUAAUGUUCGUACAAAUGGAAAUUUCGGGUUGUCACAUCAUCCCCCCAUUAGAAGGAAUUUCGUCCCGAAAUUAGAAUGUAAGCAAAUAAGAAUUUACAAAUAAUUAAGCAAAAAGGUGAGGGUAUUUCAGUUUCAUCUGAUCCUCACGUUCCCAAGUGAAUUCUGGUCCACGCUUUGCGUUCCAGCGCACCUUCACUAUCGGGAUACGGCUCUGCUUUGUUUGCUUGACCUCUCGGUCCAUGAUCUCUACUGGUUCCUCCACGAAGUUGAGGCUCUCGUUGAUCUCGAUCUCGUCGAGUGGAAUAACAAGAGUCUCGUCGGAUAGGCACUUUUUCAAGUUUGACACGUGGAAGGUAGGAUGUACGUUAUUGAGUUCUUUUGGUAGAUUGAGCUUGUAAGCCACAGGGCCGAUUCUUGCGAGAAUCUCGAAAGGCCCUAUGUAUCUUGGAUUGAGCUUCCCACGCUUUCCAAAGCGUAUCAAGCCCUUCCAGGGUGAGACUUUCAGUAGGACUCGGUCGCCCACCUGGAACUCCAAUGGUUUCCUACGCUUGUCGGCGUAGCUUUUCUGUCGGUCUCUAGAGGCUUUUAAUCGUUCACGAAUUUGAACGAUCUUCUCUGUCGUUUCCCGAAUGAUCUCCGGACCCGUGAGAGUGCUUUCGGGAACUCGUCCCUUAGCUAACUGGGUAUCACCCACUUCAGCCCAGCACAGAGGGGAUCUGCACUUUCGGCCAUAGAGGGCCUCGAAUGGAGCUGCCUUUAUGCUCGUGUGAUAACUGUUGUUGUAGGAAAAUUCAACAAGGGGUAAAUGAGUAUCCCAAGCUUUUCCAAAGUCUAUCACACAGGCGCGCAACAUAUCUUCUAAGGUUUGGAUAGUUCUCUCACUUUGCCCGUCGGUCUGUGGAUGGUAGGCUGUACUCAUGUCCAGCCUAGUUCCUAGGGAACUUUGUAAUGACUGCCAGAACCUCGAAGUGAAUCUACUAUCUCGGUCUGAGAUGAUAGAUAAAGGAACACCGUGCAGUCUUACAAUCUCCCUAAUGUAAGUUCUGGUAAGUUUCUCCAUCUUGUCUGUUUCCUUGAUCGGUAGGAAGUGUGCAGACUUGGUCAGUCUAUCGACGAUGACCCAUAUGGAAUCAAGUCCACCCGUCGUCUUGGGCAACUUGGUUAUGAAGUCCAUAGUGAUCCGCUCCCACUUCCAUUCUGGUAUCUCCGGUUGUUGUAGAAGACCGGAGGGUUUCUGGUAUUCGACCUUGACCUUUGCGCAAGUAAGGCAUUUACUCACGAAGGUAGCAAUAUCUGCUUUCAUGUUAGGCCACCAGUAUAACUUUUUAAGAUCCAGAUACAUCUUAUCUGAACCCGGGUGGACGGAAUAACGAGUGUUGUGAGCUUCGGUCAUGACCAAGUCUCUGAAGCCACCGUGUUUCGGUGUCCAGAUCCGAUCCAUGAGGUAUAAGGCUCCGCCACCCUUGACUUCCAAGUUCUUAUCCAUCCCUCUAAGGGAUUCACCCGCCACGUUUUCAGGUUUCAAAGCGUCGAGCUGAGCCUCCUUUAUUUGCGUGGACAAGUGUGAAUGGAUAGUUAGAGUCAAAGAUUUGACUCUACGACCAGUAUAUUCUUUCCGACUUAGGGCGUCGGCUACUACAUUGGCUUUACCCGGAUGAUAACGAAUUUCGCAUUCGUAAUCACUAAGUAGCUCGACCCACCGUCGUUGUCUCAUGUUGAGCUCUUUCUGGUCGAAAAUGUGUUGUAGACUCUUAUGGUCUGUAAAGAUCGUGCUUUUUGUACCGUAUAGGUAAUGUCGCCAGAUCUUCAGAGCAAACACAACUGCUCCUAGUUCAAGAUCGUGGGUUGUGUAGUUAACCUCAUGUGUCUUCAGCUGUCUCGAGGCAUAGGCGAUGACUUUACCUCGCUGCAUCAGAACACAUCCGAGUCCUUGAUUGGAUGCAUCGCAAUAGACAAUGAAGUCUUCUAUUCCUUCGGGAAGGGAUAGUAUCGGGGCGGUGCACAAGGCUCGUUUGAGCGUUUGGAACGCUCUUUCCUGUUUCUCUUCCCAGUCGAAGGCCACGCCUUUCUGGGUCAGGGUUGUAAGAGGUUUCGCUAUGCUGGAGAAGUUCUGAAUGAACCUGCGAUAGUAGCCAGCUAGACCUAGAAAUUGACGAAUUUCAGUAGGUGUCUUUGGUGCUGACCAGUUCUCGAUGGCCUUAAUUUUGGAAGGGUCCACGUGUAUACCUUCUUCGCUAACUACAUGGCCCAAGAAUUCGACUCGCCGAAUCCAAAAUUCGCACUUUGAGAACUUCGCGUAGAGCUUCUCCGAUCGCAAUGUUUCUAAGAUUUUACGGAGAUGUUGACUAUGCUCCUCCUUACUUCGAGAGUAGAUGAGUAUGUCAUCAAUGAAGACGAUGACGAACUGAUCCAAGUAAGGACGACACACCCUAUUCAUCAGAUCCAUGAAUACUGCGGGCGCGUUAGUUAAUCCGAAUGGCAUCACUACAAACUCGUAGUGCCCAUAACGAGUUCGGAAGGCUGUCUUGGGAACAUCCUCCUCUAACACUCGUAGUUGGUGAUAUCCGGAUCGCAGAUCUAUCUUCGAGAAGUAGUUGGCUCCUUGAAGUUGAUCAAAUAAAUCGUCAAUGCGGGGCAAGGGAUAACGAUUUUUAAUGGUAAGUUUGUUGAGUUCUCUAUAGUCGAUGCACAUGCGAAACGAUCCAUCUUUCUUCUUGACGAACAAGACCGGUGCUCCCCAUGGUGAGAAGCUUGGUCGAAUGAAUCCCUUCUUGAGAAGUUCGUUAAGUUGACUGGAAAGUUCCUGCAUUUCAGCCGGUGCCAGACGAUAAGGAGAUUUGGCUACGGGGGUAGCCCCUGGCACUAAGUCGAUUCUGAACUCGACUUGGCGUUGUGGUGGUAAACCGGGAAGUUCUUCUGGGAAUAUGUCGGGAAAGUCGCGUACUUCUGGGAUUUUCUGGAUGUCUUUCAGUUCUUGACUGGUAUCGACGACGUGUGCGAGAAAUGCAUGGUACUCCUUCCGCAAGCACUUCUGGGCUUGAAUGCACGAAAUGAUGCGAAGGCUCGUACUAGGUUUGUCGCCGUAGAUAAUUAAAGUUUCGUUGUUAGGAAGGUUAAGACGAACUGCUUUUUCGAAGCACAUAAUGUCGGCACGAAGAAGACUCAACCAAUCCAUACCGAUGAUAACGUCGAAACAUUUAAUUGUGACUGGCAUGAGAUCUAUCUUGAAAGUAUGGCCAUCUAAAGUUAAGGUACAACCUACGUAUAUGCAGUUUGUACUCUCUGUUUUCCCGUUAGCCAUUUCUACCGUGAAUGAACUAUCUAAUGCACAUGGUUUUUGUUUAAGCAGGUGUGCAAAUUUGUGACUUACAAAACUUUUCUCGGCUCCACUAUCGAAAAGUAUGCAAGCAUAUGAGUUAUCGAGGAGGAACGUACCAGUAACUAUCGUUGGAUCAGCUACUGCUUCCUCGUGGCCUAGAGCCAUAACUCUUCCCACUCCUCCAGCCAUCCCUGCUUUAGGGCAGUUCCUCUUGUAGUGGCCCACUUCGCCACAUCCGUAGCAAGCUUGGCCCAUACCGGCGUUAGGAACCUGGGUAGCUUGAGCUGUUGGAGUUUUGCAGAAGCGGACGGUGUGUCCCUUCUUGUUGCAGUUAGAGCACUGCAUCUCCCUGCAAGGUCCGUGGUGGUGGAAGUUGCACUUGGUGCACUUCGGGAGAGUCCCAGCAUAUGUUUUUGCUGGUAAGAGGUUCGCAGGGGCAACAGGAGUCACUGUGGCAGCAUUGAUCGCCACAAGUUGUUGCGUAUUGGAGGAUCCUUGCGGAGCCCCUCUUUUCCUCUUAUUCCACCCCUUCUUGUCGUAGUCGGGGUUGGAUUUUUGUGGUACAGGUGUAGGGAUUGUUGUGUUCUGAGGUUUCCGGUGAUCGAUAAGAGAUUGUGCCAGUUCCUUGGCACUAUCAAAGGUAAUAGGCCUGGAAGCGAUCACACUUGACUGGAUCUGGGGCGACAGUCCCCAGAUAUAUCUCUCGAUCUUUUUGCUCUGGAGAGCAACCAUAUCAGGGCAUAAGUUUGCCAAAUCACAGAACCUAUUUGUGUAGGUAGUGAUGUCGGAUCCAACCAUUUGUAGACCCCAGAAUUCUUGCUCGAGUUUUUGUAUUUCACCUCGAGGACAGUAUUCUUUCAUCAGCAUGUCUUUCAACUUUUCCCAGCCGAUGGAAUACGCCACCACCAAAGUUAGAUAGUUAACAUGGCUGUUCCACCAUGUUAGUGCUCGGUCAGAGAAGGUACAAGCUGCGAACUUGACCUUGUUGCCUUCUUGGCAUCCGCAGAUCUCGAAGACAGAUUCCAUCUUCUCAAUCCAUUGUCUCAACACCAUAACACCCCCAGUUCCAUUGAAGCUGCGGGGUUUGGCGUUAGUGAAGUCCUUGUAGGUGCACUCCCGAGGGUGUCCAUGGCUUUCGCCGUGGUUCGAGGGUGGUGCACCUGUUCCUGAUCCACUAGGGGCAGGAGCGUUGAUUGCUGACACAGCAGCUGCAACUGCUGCUGUGAAAGCUGCCUGGAACAUGUUGGCAUCGAAAGGGUUAGGUGGUUGAAGAGGUACAGGUGGUGGUGGAGGUGGUGGUAUCGGUGCUUCGUUGUUUGGAUUGCGUCUUGUACUUCUGCGUGGCGGCAUCUUUAACUAUACGUUUUAAAAGAUGACGACAUGGAUAAGAAUAAAUGAUUAAUGAAUGUGUCUCAUGGACUAAAUCCCCAUAGCCCAACAACAGAAGGAAUAGCUUAAAUAGACGAACUGACUAAGAUAAUUACAGUAAGACCAAAUACCCCUAUGGUAUUUCUUUAUGGUUGUGUUGGUAAGUUUUUAGACUUGUUGCCAUAUCACAACCAUUCUUGGGCAUAUGCUAAUCACUCCUCGGACCAGCAUAGUUGAUCAGGCUAUGCCAUUCCCAAGACUGACUAUAUAUCCCCAGGCUUACUUGUGAUAUUCAACAAUCGUAAUACUUUUGUUCUUGUCGUUGUGACACUGAUUUUAGUAUGAAUACAGGCACGUAUACUUACUUAAAUAUUUUAUUAUUUAAAAGUAUAACUCUGAGACAGAGUGUUUUAAUCCCAUGUAUUUAUAGUUAGUAUAUCUUUUAUGGGUUGAUAUACUUAAUUCACUAUAAACAAUGCUCUGAUACCAAUCUGUCACACCCCAAAACCACGAACGGCGGAAACGUUCAGGGGUGGAGGACGUCAUGUACAGUAUCACAACAGUGUAAUAUAAUAAACAAGCAACAACAUCAUCUAUUGCAUUAUAGGUAAAGUUUUAAUACAUGUGUGUUCUUUCAUUGUAGUAAGACACCAAAAAUAUACAAUCGAAAAAUAAAAGACGAGACUUGUCUGCUCCGUCUUCUCAAAACCUGGCCUCCGUACCUGUCUACUGGUGACCUGAGAAUACAAGUUAUUUUGAAAGCGAGUAUCAGCUUUAAAGCUGGUGAAUUCAUAAGUAUAUAAGUGUCAUUUCCUUGUUUGUGAAAAUCUGUUUUGAAAGCCAUGUAAACCUUUAAAUGAAAAUGUUGAGGUAAGUAUGAAAUCCCUAGAAAAACCCUUAUUUUCUAUAAGUAUGAAAUGUAGUCUUCUACCAAGACCCGAAUGUUCUAUUUGUAAAAUGAUAGUUUUCCCUGUGUAAUGACUAGUACUAUGAGUGCUUAGUCUAACUCAUCGUUUAUGUGAAUGUAUCACCAAAUAAAGUAAAUAGGAAAAUAUACCCAUGAAAGUAUUACUCUUGGGUUACCCGGGGGUAACACUAUGUUGCUGACGCGAAAGAUAUAACCUAAUGAACAUCCGAAGAUUGUUCAAUUUAACCUCUGUGGUGAACAGUAGAUUCCAUGAAUGGUUAGUCCCGUAACUGACUUUACAUCGAUGUAGUCGAAGUAAAUGACCUAAUGAACAUCCGAAGAUCGUUCAAUUAACCUCUGUGGCGAACAGUAGGUUCCAGGAAUGGUUAGUCCCGUAACCGACUCUACCUUGCUAUAAGAGAAAUAGAUAACCUAAUGGACAUCCGAAGAUUGUCCAAUUAACCUCUGUAGCGAACAAUAGGUUCCAGGAAUGGUUAGUCCCGUAACUGACUCUCGUUGAACUGGGAUGAGCAGGACGAUUUACUGAAGGUACUAACAAUUCAUCCUAACAAACCGAAGUUCAGAUAUUCAUGUAAGUAUACACAGAUGUAUCUACGUAAAAGUAUUCAUGUAAUGUGUUCAUUUAAGCGUGUUCAUGUAAUCGUGUUCAUGUAUCAUGUAAGGACAUGUAAAGGUACUCAUGUAUCAGGUAAUGUACUAAUAAAGACUCAUAAAUGAACUGACUCUUGUGUGAUUCCUUGUAAUAGAAGUAAUGUUUGAUAUCUUCCCACUAUCCCUAUGAUAAUCUACUAUAAUAUAACUAGUUGACCACGUAAGUUUACACACUCUUACUACUCCAGGGUUUGAGAAACUAAGUGAAAGAUGCAAACUAUAACAUCAAUACAUAUAUAAGAAUAUAAGUGUAUAAGGAUAGUUUAGUUCAAGAAUAUAAAAAUGGUUUUGUAAGACAUCUUACGGGUUUUGAACAAUAAAUAACAAUGACUUGAUGUCAUUUGAAUAAACUUUUCAAAAGUAAAACAUUUGGUAACAAUGUGCUUUUAGGAGGUAAAACCAUUUCAUGCAUCACAUUUUGUAGCAUGUGAAUUCUGUUAAAUGACAAACACAGUUAUAAAAUACAUAUCAAUGAUUUAAUAACAUGUUUGCUUCUACUUGUAUUCCCCCCCCCCCAUUAAAGCAUUUAAAAUUAUUUAAAACAUUGAUUAGGGGUAUGAACUCACCUGUAGUUGGUGAUUGGGAUGAAUUGGACGGUAUCGGAUUACUAGGUGUCAAGCGAGGACUUGUGCACACACUACGAUCCUAAUGAACAUAUAAUCAC